GGAGUGGUAGUUCAGUUGGUUAGAAUACCGGCCUGUCACGCCGGGGGGGGUCGCGGGUUCGAGUCCCGUCCACUCCG
rnacentral:tRNA from 1 species